rnacentral:rRNA from 1 species
UGAGGAAUAUUGGGCAAUGCCCGCAAGGGUGACCCAGCAACGCCGCGUGGAGGAUGAAUGUCGUAAGAUUGUAAACUCCUGUUAGAGGGGAAGAAUAGUACCGGUUGGACCGGUAUAUGACUGUACCCUCAGAGAAAGCCCCGGCUAACUACGUGCCAGCAGCCGCGGUAAUACGUAGGGGGCAAGCGUUGUCCGGAUUUACUGGGUGUAAAGGGCGCGCAGGCGGGAUAAAAAGUCAGUGGUGAAAUCCUACAGCUUAACUGUAGAACUGCCUUUGAUACUUUUAUUCUUGAGUUCGGGAGAGAGAGACGGAAUUCCAGGUGUAGUGGUGAAAUACGUAGAUAUCUGGAAGAAAACCAGUUGCGAAGGCGGUCUCUUGGUCCGACACUGACGCUGAGGCGCGAAAGCGUGGGGAGCAAACA